UACGGAGGGUGCGAGCGUUGUCCGGAAUCACUGGGCGUAAAGGGCGCGUAGGCGGCUGGGGAAGUCGGCGGUGAAAGCCCGGAGCUCAACUCCGGGUCGGCCGUCGAGACUCCUCGGCUCGAGCUCACUAGAGGCAGAUGGAAUUCCGGGUGUAGCGGUGGAAUGCGUAGAGAUCCGGAAGAACACCGGUGGCGAAGGCGGUCUGCUGGGGUGAGGCUGACGCUGAGGCGCGACAGCGUGGGGAGCAAACAGGG
rnacentral:rRNA from 1 species